UGUGUGUGUGUGUGUGUGUGUGUGUCUUUGAAGAAGGUGCCAACUUCUUAACUUGUUGUUUAAUCAAGUGCUACAGUGAACAAGAUGUUUCUACCACUGCCUAAACCAUUCUUUGUAACAUGUCCUCCCUUUUUCUUUUACUUACUGCUGCUGUGAGUAUGCUUCAAUCUUUACAGCGACAGUGUUGCUGAAUAAAUGUUUGUUUUUUUCUCUUUGUAAA